CCUACGGGAGGCAGCAGUAGGGAAUAUUGCUCAAUGGGGGAAACCCUGAAGCAGCAACGCCGCGUGGAGGAUGAAGGUUUUCGGAUUGUAAACUUCUUUUGUUAGAGAAGAUUAUGACGGUAUCUAACGAAUACGAACCGGCUAACUCAGUGCCAGCAGCCGCGGUAAUACGGAGAGUGCAAGCGUUACUCGGAAUCACUGGGCGUAAAGGGCGCGUAGGCGGGAUAGCAGGUCAGAUGUGAAGUCCUAUGGCUAAACCAUAGAACUGCCUUUGAAACUGUUAUUCUAGAGUAUGGAAGAGGUAGGUGGAAUGCUUGGUGUAGGGGUAAAAUCCGUAGAGAUCAAGAGGAAUACUCAUUGCGAAGGCGACCUGCUAGAACAUAACUGACGCUGAUGCGCGAAAGCGUGGGGAGCAAACAGGAUUAGAUACCCCAGUAGUC
rnacentral:rRNA from 1 species